ACAUUCUUCUUUACUAUCUCAUAGAUUUACUCGAAGUAUGGAAUGUAAAGAAGUAUGUUC
rnacentral:pre_miRNA from 1 species